CUAUGACCACAUCCGUCCCUGGGAAAAAAGGCCAAGCAAACUCCCAUGACCACACUGCCACAGCACUGAAAUACAGGAUACGAUGGAGCUCUUGGAGGAGGAUCUCACAUGCCCAAUAUGCUGCUGUCUUUUUGAGGACCCGCGAGUUCUGCCGUGCUCUCACAGCUUCUGUAAGAAGUGUCUCGAGGGCAUCCUGGACGGUAUCCGGGGCCCUGCGUGGAGACCACCGUUUAAAUGUCCGACCUGUCGAAAGGAGACCGUGCACAACGGCAUCGCGAGCUUGCAAGUCAAUUACUCCCUACGUGGCAUCGUGGAGAAGUACAACAGGAUUCGAGUGAUGCCGAGGAUGUCUCUCUGCCGAGUUCACAGCGGACAACCGCUCAACAUUUUCUGCGCCACGGAUCUGAAGCUCAUCUGUGGUUUUUGCGCCACGACAGGUGAUCAUAAAGGACACAAGUUUUGCGCGCUGGAGGAGGCGUACGAACGCGAGAAGCUCGCGUUUGAGGAGUUGUUUCGUGUCGUGGAGGGCUGGAGGGGCGAGGAGGUGCAUUCGUGCCUGGAAUCGUUAGAGGAAGCGAAGAAGAAAGCGCUGGAGAGGGUGUCGCGGGACGCAGAUCGAGUCUCGGAGUACUUUGACAAACUUUUGCGCACGCUGGAGCACAAACGGAGAGAGAUCCUCUCGGACUUGGAGACUCUGAAGCUCGCGGUCAUGCAGACCUUUGACCCCGAGAUCAACCAGCUCCGUUCGGCGCUCGAGGAGCAGCGGCGCGCGCUCAGCAUCGCCGAAUCCUUCCGUUCGCUCUCGGACCCGCUCACUUUCCUCCAGCAGAUGCAGGACUUCAGGGAAAAGCUGCGCGUCAUUCGGGGAACGCCGCUGCCGUCGCAGACGGACGUGGAUGUGGGUUUGCUUGGCCUGCAGAGCUUCGAUGUGAAGGAAUGGGACCGGGUGCUUCUUGGAGAGGUGGACAAGCUGUGCGCCCCCUACGAGAGCAGCACCUACCUGGCUUCGCAGCCCUCUGCUGCAGCUCCGCGCUUCUCCCGUGUACUGUGGAGAGUUGUUCUGGUUGUAUGUGCGUGCCUCCCCGCGCUGAACUUUCUCCCGUCGGACUGUCUCGCUCUGGGCUUCCAGGAUAAGGUGGUCGCACUCAGUGGCUUUUCUCUGCCCGGUCCUGGAGAGAUUGUGCGCUGGUUUGGGUUCUGCUGGAAAGAAGCGGAAGCGAUCUGCACGCUACUAACCGAGCUGUGUCGGAACUGUAUCUUGGACCUGAUAAACACAACAUCAGAUUUCAUCAGCUGAUUUUAUAACUUCAUUCAUUAGGUCCCAGGAAUUGAUGCUGCAGCACAUCACGGCCUGCAUCUCUGUAUCACCACAAACCAUUCUGUGCUGCUACACCAUCACCUAGAGAGGGUCCCUCUCUCUCAAUCACGCACUCACACCCUCGGCAACAUGACCAAGCACUGCCAGAAUCACAGAGCGAGUGACUCCUCUCCUCCCUCUCUCUCUUUCUCUCAGCAGGGCUUGAGGCAUUCCAGGACUCCAUCUGAAACACAGAAGAGAGGAGGACGCUUGAGUGAGAACAUACACACAGUAGCUGGACGUGAUGCUGAUGGAUUUUAUGCAGACAAACCUCUCAGCAACUUUCAAGCAUUAUACCAAAACCUGUCCUCUGGCAACUCCAUCAAAAAUAAUGAUAUUAAAGAAAACAAGAAACGAGCACUUUUGCCUUCUAGACCAGUCUGGAUUUAACCUCCAAGAUGGUGAUUCAGCACUGACAACAUCCAGCCUCGUACUCAUCUUCAACAGCGAGAACAGACCUGCCACCAGCUUCCCAAAGUGCUGUCCCACAGCUGAAGACAUCUCUUAUGCCCACACUAUGUUAAAUAAGAAAUCUAUUUUUUCUGAAUCAAUCACUGUGCUUCAUGUACAGUUAUGAUAAAAAAAGGUGAAUGUUAGUGUUUACCAAGUCAGAGUUGAUGCGAGACAUCAUUAACAUAUAAAGAUCUAAUUUAAAAAAAAACCUGAAGUACUGAUAGUAAUAUUAGAUAUAUUUAUACAACUGACAAUAGAACGACAAACACAGAAUCUCAAUAUCAAAGUAUUUUCUUUGACACCAGCUUCCUAAAGAUUUGGAAUUUAGUCUCAUCUUAAAAUAAAAUUCAAUUGUGUUGAAUUAUAUUAGAUUUUCUUUAGAAAUAGGAGAGUUGUAGCAUUAAACAAUAAUUCAAGUACAUUACCAUGCCUGCUUUUUAGUAGAAAAAAAGUGAAGCAGCAGAAAGGUGAGAUCUGAGUGUACUAAAUAAUACAGCAUUUUACAGCCAACGAUACUACUUGUGAUGAAACGAUUACAUAAUUUUCUUGAAAUUUAAUAGUUUGUAUCUUUAUUAGUAUAUUAAAACAUUAAUUAUAACAAAAUAUUAGUUAACGACAAGUUUCAAGCAUCUGUUUAUUAUGAUCACUAAGGUGUAACACUGACACCAAUGUUACGACCUGAUUAACAUAACUAUUAAUUUGGGUCAAUGAUGAACAUGGAUUCACGGCCAAGAAACAAGCCAUUGUGACAAUGCUACAAUAGUCAUAUAUUGUAUAGCUCCUGAUAAGUCACUGACAGUAAAAUGUUUUUUUCUCCUGUAAAAAAAAAUUAUUUAAAAAAAAAAUAGCGUAGGAGAUUUUGACAGCAAACAAGAAUAGAAACGUGUUUUUCUAAAAUCAGCCAGUUAGUUCUGUCACCUAAACAAAACCUAAUGCCUAGUUGUGAUCUAUGAGAUUGACAGGAAGACAACUAGAUCCUCUCACACACAAUAUAGUCAAUGCUAGACUAGCUUUAAGAGCCAA